rnacentral:rRNA from 1 species
UACGAAGGGGGCUAGCGUUGCUCGGAAUUACUGGGCGUAAAGCGCACGUAGGCGGUCUUUUAAGUCGGGGGUGAAAUCCUGGAGCUCAACUCCAGAACUGCCUUCGAUACUGGAAGACUCGAGUCCGGGAGAGGUGAGUGGAACUGCGAGUGUAGAGGUGAAAUUCGUAGAUAUUCGCAAGAACACCAGUGGCGAAGGCGGCUCACUGGCCCGGUACUGACGCUGAGGUGCGAAAGCGU